AUGAAGACAACACGCGGGAGGAUCCCUAAAGCUUUUACCCAGAACAGGCGACCGGACACCUGCUCUCGUCUCAAUGGCCGAAGCAAGUCACAUGUCCCAGCUACCCUCGCAGGCAGCGUUGCCUUCGCCCACCAAAGCAAGUUCCUCCACUUGCAAGGGGAGUUAACUAUUAUCAUCAGAUCAGUACUUACUGCUGAUUCAACAGACACAAGUGAUUAUGAAAUGGUUAGACGGCAGCAGUCAUAUGACACAGAAAGAAAUGCAGAGGUUUGUUUGUUUCUGUUUGUUUGUUUAAGGACGGGGGAAAGGCUUUUGGUGGAACACUCCGACCAGAAACGGCUCUCCUCCCAUCCACAUCUGGAGGAGUUUUAAAAAAAUCCCAUUCACAACGCUCUCACAGAGGGGAGAACGCAGACGAAUUCAUGGACUGUCUAUCUCGAGAAAUGCGCCAGUGUUUGCCCAGAUAGACGUAGCAGUUAAUCAAAACAUACCAUUUCAGCCAAACACGGCCAAAAACGACUCAGGACCUGAAAGUCUGACCCUUCCCUGACUUGCCUGCCAGGACACCUUCCUGCCCAAGCCCCUAGCUCCUGGCACACUUAGCGCCUGUGCGCUCAGAUCAGUUUCUCCUCCACCAAACUCCACGAGGGCCAGCGAUGCCCUCAGGUGCUCAGUAAGUAUUUGUUAAGUGAAUCACGAUACACGCUGAAGAGCCACGGACAGAGAACCCGAGACGUCUCUGCAUUUGGUGUAUCCAUCUGGAUAAAAGGAAGCCAGCGAGCUGGUCUCAGGUCCCUGGGUUCGUGGGUUGUAGACCAGCAUGUGUGAUGACACCAGAGACCAGAGGCCAUGUACCAGGCAAAUGAGUGGAUUUAACUCAGCUCCCAAAUGCAAAGACACUUUAGCUCAUCCCAGGUCCUCCUUGAGGUUAGAUUUGUAUCUUACUUGCAGCCUGUUGCCUACGGCCGUAUUUCUAUUUAACCAUUUAGCUUACUCUGUAUAUUUCAUUGCAUAACAUGCAAUGAGCCCUUCUAAAUUAUCCUUUUUUAUUUAAAUUUUUUUUCUGAAUUAAAAAUUAAGGCAGCAUGGUUUAGUGAGCUUUAAUUUUUUUUUUUUUCUGGUAUGACAAGAAGUUCUAAAAUGGGUGGAGUUAAACCAAGCUUCGCCAUGUGUCCAGGGGUCAGAGAGGGAGGGUCACGAGAUCAAUACCGUCCCUCCCGGCACCUACCUGAGCAUAUCCCCACCUGCACAGACCCCUGGUACACAACAGGCACUCAAUAAAUGUUUGCUGAAUUGAGUAGGAAAGUUAGAG
rnacentral:lncRNA from 1 species